rnacentral:misc_RNA from 1 species
GUAAAACUCAAAAAGGUUUCGAUAAGUCGUUCUUUUAAUUUUUGACACUUGCAGUACACGAGAGAAUCAAAACAGGUGAUCUGAACACUUAACAACCAAGAUAACAUGAUAUCAACAGACACAACUACCAAAUUAGCCCACAAUGCGAUGCCAAUUAGAUACCAACUUACUAGGAGACCUGAGGCGAACCAAAACACAGUUAUUCAAAACAAGAAGGUCGGAGACAGUCAAACCAAUCUAGAACGCUCCACGGUUGACACAUGGAGAAUAGAAAAAGACCUUGAAGGUAUUACUUCUACUAUUUCUACAAGCGGGGCUGAUAGUUCCAGCAGAAAUAAACACGUAACAUUUGCUGAUGCGGGUUUUGAUCAAUCCAGUGAUAGCGUAGACAACAAUAAAACGGCAUUAGCGACAACGUUUCCGUUUAGACAAUCAAGUUACGUGCAGCAUUUAAAGUCUAAGAGUUUCGUGAACGAUAGUAGGUCUGGAAUGCACAGGGUCCCAACAACCCACAGUCGACCUUCCAAUAAUAAAAGCGCACCUAGGAAGGCAUCGGGAUCUAUUCCAAGAGAUAAAUAUACUGACAACUUUGCUCUAGAUCCCAUGAUUGAUGUUACGGACUCAGAAAUGGCAACCCCUUGCGAUUUAGAAGGUCAAACGGACAAAGACGAUAUUGUAUUGUCGUAUAGGAAACUCACGCGGAGUUUGAAUGAUCUUCAAAAACCAUUGAUGAUACCUGGGAUAUUGCCGGUGAUUCCCCCCAGAAAGUCAUCUGGGAAAUCGAACAUUUCAAACCCAGAAGCGGAAUACUUAAGAAGUCGCUCGCCACAUAUAGGAAUUCCUGCAUUGAAGUAUUCUAACAGGCCAAAUAGCGUGGUGAGCGUCGUCAGUUCCGAUGACCUCGAUCGGGCAGUGAAUGAUGUUAUGCUCGGGAAAACUCGUCUCACAACCCCGAGUGUAUCGUCAAACUUCAGAGAACACAGGUCAAGGUCACAACCAACUCCAGAGCCUAAUUUUAUUGAGGUCGACGAUAACGAAAUAACAGUGUACCAAAUGAAGAUAAUGACUCACUUGGCGAAUCAAUAUCGGUACAGGUAUGUCCCUAGGAUACCAAAAGAAAAGAGAAGUCCAUCCAGUGCCCCUGUAUUGAAACCUCCACGUCAACUGCCCAAACAAUACCUCAGUGAAAAGGAUGCCCCGAAAGAUGGAAAUACAUGUACGUUCUCGCCAACUGAUGUUCAUAAAAUAAUAUUGGAAAGAAUCAAAACUCUACACAAGCCAAGAGUAAUUCAAAAAGACACUCCAAAGAAACACAAAGGAAAGUUAAUUCUCGGUAGUCCAAAGAAAUAUGUUAUAUCCGAAAGACACAAGCAAAGUGAGCUUCGGCAAGUGACCAGGAGUAGUUCUGCUAGCAAUGAAUAUUUUAAAAUCAAUUCUCCGCUUAAACAGCCUAGAUACAUGUAUACUUUAUAAUGGCCAAAGUAAUUGUUUGGGUCAGUGAUGCUCCAGUCACUUCUGUUGCGGCGGCUAAGCGGUCCAUAACAUCUGUAACAUCUACGGCCACAAGUAAUCAUAGAGCUCCUGGGAUUCCCAUCGUCACAUACUAUAUGCAAUGAUAUAUGGCAACUUGUCAAGGUAGCUUACAUGACGUAUUUUGAACUUGUGGAGACAGAAAACUUUCGGUCAUCGCACGUCCUUUGUGGAGAUCAUGAUGACGAACAGUCGCCUUCUCGCGAAUAGGUCCAUGGAAUUUUUUUGAAAGAGGGGUCUGCGAAAUAAACGCCCAUUGGCUUGGAAAAGCAAAUUUCCCUCCUAAUAAACGCCAAACUCCUUGGAAAAACAAUUGUUCCCUCUUUAUAAAGACUCGUGGGCGUUCAUUUCGAGGACUUUCAAAUAAAUGCCCAUGCAAGAUAAACGCCCAGUGGGCCUAUUCGCGAGACACUAUAUACGGUAGGGCGCGCAUCUCUCUCUAUAUAGGACAAAUUGAUAAGUGAGUGCUGAUCAUAUUGUUUACAUUUGUGAGAGGCGAUUACGGAUGGUAUUUGAUAAAUAUGUCUAGUCCACCUAUAUCGUGUUUUGUCAUUUGUGGGAAUUUUUUUAUUUUGUUUUUGGGUCUACGCAUUUUUUGUUCUUUUGGGUGUUUGGUCCUCGCAUAUCUUGUCUGUUAAUAAAGUUGUCCCAAUGUGGCCAAAUAAAAAACAGUUAGUGGUGAUUUUGCAUUUCAAAAAUAUUUAUUUUAUUUAUUAUCGACAUUCCCAAGUUUUACAAAUUCCCAAAUUCUUUGAUCAACAAUGUACCAAAUAAAUGGCAAGAAACCAACAAUUGCUAAUAUCAAAUUGACAACGAAUGCAGCUAAAGGAUAAACAUGUACAGUCAAAGAGUGUGUAUAGAACAUUGCUGUUGCACCCAGUAAUUUGAAUAUAUGUUCUGUAAAAUUCUCAAUUAACAAAAUUUUUCCUAACUUCAUCAGAAUCUACUCUGUGAACAAUUAAACUUUUUAGUACGGCCUUGCAGCUCAUUGCCAUACCAAG